rnacentral:rRNA from 1 species
UACGAAGGGGGCUAGCGUUGUUCGGAAUUACUGGGCGUAAAGCGCACGUAGGCGGAUCGAUCAGUCAGGGGUGAAAUCCUGGAGCUCAACUCCAGAACUGCCUUCGAUACUGGAAAGCUCGAGUCCGGGAGAGGUGAGUGGAACUGCGAGUGUAGAGGUGAAAUUCGUAGAUAUUCGCAAGAACACCAGUGGCGAAGGCGGCUCACUGGCCCGGUACUGACGCUGAGACGCGAAAGCGUGGGGAGCAAACAGG